rnacentral:tRNA from 1 species
GAAGGCCUGCGAAACUCUAAUUCACAUCUUCUGAAUGCAACUCAAACACUUUAAUUAAGCCAAGACCUC